GAUGAACGCUGGCGGCGUGCCUAAUACAUGCAAGUCGAGCGAACGGACGAGAAGCUUGCUUCUCUGAUGUUAGCGGCGGACGGGUGAGUAACACGUGGAUAACCUACCUAUAAGACUGGGAUAACUUCGGGAAACCGUAGCUAAUACCGGAUAAUAUUUUGAACCGCAUGGUUCAAAAGUGAAAGACGGUCUUGCUGUCACUUAUAGAUGGAUCCGCGCUGCAUUAGCUAGUUGGUAAAGUAACGGCUUACCAAGGCAACGAUGCAUAGCCGACCUGAGAGGGCGAUCGGCCACACUGGAACUGAGACACGGUCCAGACUCCUACGGGAGGCAGCAGUAGGGAAUCUUCCGCAAUGGGCGAAAGCCUGACGGAGCAACGCCGCGUGAGUGAUGAAAGUCUUCGGAUCGUAAAACUCUGUUAUUAGGGAAGAACAUAUGUGUAAGUAACUGUGCACAUCUUGACGGUACCUAAUCAGAAAGCCACGGCUAACUACGUG
rnacentral:rRNA from 1 species